rnacentral:ncRNA from 1 species
UCAUGUGUGGCUGACGUUGUCAGCGCCAUGCCAGCAGUUCGGGUCUUGAGGCUGCCGCGGUUUCACCGCGCGACCCACCAGUCCGCUUCGCAUCGCCCCGCGGACGAGCGUCCCCCAUGACG